AAUAGAUACCCCGGUACGUCCACGCCGUAAACGAUGAGUGCUAAGUGUUGGGGGGUUUCCGCCCCUCAGUGCUGCAGCUAACGCAUUAAGCACUCCGCCUGGGGAGUACGGUCGCAAGACUGAAACUCAAAGGAAUUGACGGGGGCCCGCACAAGCGGUGGAGCAUGUGGUUUAAUUCGAAGCAACGCGAAGAACCUUACCAGGUCUUGACAUCCCGGUGACCACUAUGGAGACAUAGUUUCCCCUUCGGGGGCAACGGUGACAGGUGGUGCAUGGUUGUCGUCAGCUCGUGUCGUGAGAUGUUGGGUUAAGUCCCGCAACGAGCGCAACCCUUAUUCUUAGUUGCCAUCAUUCAGUUGGGCACUCUAAGGAGACUGCCGGUGAUAGACCGGAGGAAAGUGGGGAUGACGUCAAAUCAUCAUGCCCCUUAUGACCUGGGCUACACACGUGCUACAAUGGACGGUACAAACGGUUGCCAACCCGCGAGGGGGAGCUAAUCCGAUAAAACCGUUCUCAGUUCGGAUUGUAGGCUGCAACUCGCCUAC
rnacentral:rRNA from 1 species